UCGUUUGAGGUCUGCUGCAAUUACCUUAAAAUUGACACUAAACAUGACCUGCUUAAAAGUCCGACUGACAAAUAGGGACGUUUUUCGUAUUUUCUAAAUAUUUUUUGACUUUGGACCAGUGCCGGCGCUGUGACGUGAAGAGUAUGGAACUUCAUUGUACUCUAUCUUAUACUCCCAUCUAUUCCUUACACAACAACAAAAAGAAUCACGAAAAUCGGUUGAUUUUUCACUGAGAUUUUACUCACGCCGUUUUUUCGGAUUUUUGAAACACUUGAGGCAAGUA